rnacentral:lncRNA from 1 species
GCAAGAACAGCUGCUGUCUGCACUCUGGGACAUGUGGCCUCCUGUUCCCUUUAUGAAACGCUCUACCAGCAGUUUGUAAAAAAACCUACCCCAUGUCUGCCUGGAACUCUUCUGCUCUGGCUUCAGCGCAUUCUGUCCAUGUGUCCCUUCUAAGCUGAGGGUCCAAUUUCUACAUCUUGCAGCUUGACUUAUUUAUUAAGCUCAAAAAUAUAAUGGCUGGUUCAUAAGUCACAGGGAAGCCCUCAUGUCCCCCAGCAUCACCAAGCUCAGGUCUUCCCCCUACCCUGGAAACACUUCUUCCACAUCAGCUAAGCCCCAUCACCUGGAUCUGUGAGAAGGCAGACCCAUGAGGCCCAAUGGCUGCCAUGUAUCAAGGACCCAAUCCUCUGAUUGAUCAAAGAACAAUGAGAAGAGCUCAAAAAGGAACCCUAAGAGUCUGCCAGUCCAUACAUUCCCUUCCAGCAUGUGGGCAAACAGGCACUC